rnacentral:rRNA from 1 species
CACAGAGUUAGCCGGUGCUUAUUCUGUCGGUAACGUCAAGACACCAACGUAUUAGGUUAAUGCCCUUCCUCCCAACUUAAAGUGCUUUACAAUCCGAAGACCUUCUUCACACACGCGGCAUGGCUGGAUCAGGCUUUCGCCCAUUGUCCAAUAUUCCCCACUGCUGCCUCCCGUAGGAGUCUGGACCGUGUCUCAGUUCCAGUGUGACUGAUCAUCCUCUCAGACCAGUUACGGAUCGUAGCCUUGGUGAGCCAUUACCUCACCAACUAGCUAAUCCGACCUAGGCUCAUCUGAUAGCGCAAGGCCCGAAGGUCCCCUGCUUUCUCCCGUAGGACGUAUGCGGUAUUAGCGUCCGUUUCCGAACGUUAUCCCCCACUAUCAGGCAGAUUCCUAGGUAUUACUCACCCGUCCGCCGCUCUCAAGAGAAGCAAGCUUCUCUCUACCGCUCGACUUGCAUGUGUUAGGCCUGCCGCCAGCGUUCAAUCUGAGCCAGGA